CCUACGGGUGGCUGCAGUGGGGAAUAUUGGACAAUGGGGGCAACCCUGAUCCAGCAAUGCCGCGUGUGUGAAGAAGGCCUGCGGGUUGUAAAGCACUUUUGGCAGGGAAGAAAAGCCUCGGGAUAACACUCCGGGGUCUUGACGUAACCUGCAGAAAAAGCACCGGCUAACUCUGUGCCAGCAGCCGCGGUAAUACAGAGGGUGCAAGCGUUAAUCGGAAUUACUGGGCGUAAAGCGCGCGUAGGUGGUUUGGUAAGUCGAUUGUGAAAUCCCCG
rnacentral:rRNA from 1 species